UUGAACGCUGGCGGCAGGCCUAACACAUGCAAGUCGAGCGGUAGCACAGAGAGCUUGCUCUCGGGUGACGAGCGGCGGACGGGUGAGUAAUGUCUGGGAAACUGCCUGAUGGAGGGGGAUAACUACUGGAAACGGUAGCUAAUACCGCAUAAUGUCGCAAGACCAAAGUGGGGGACCUUCGGGCCUCAUGCCAUCAGAUGUGCCCAGAUGGGAUUAGCUAGUAGGUGGGGUAACGGCUCACCUAGGCGACGAUCCCUAGCUGGUCUGAGAGGAUGACCAGCCACACUGGAACUGAGACACGGUCCAGACUCCUACGGGAGGCAGCAGUGGGGAAUAUUGCACAAUGGGCGCAAGCCUGAUGCAGCCAUGCCGCGUGUGUGAAGAAGGCCUUCGGGUUGUAAAGCACUUUCAGCGGGGAGGAAGGCGUUAAGGUUAAUAACCUUGGCGAUUGACGUUACCCGCAGAAGAAGCACCGGCUAACUCCGUGCCAGCAGCCGCGGUAAUACGGAGGGUGCAAGCGUUAAUCGGAAUUACUGGGCGUAAAGCGCACGCAGGCGGUCUGUCAAGUCGGAUGUGAAAUCCCCGGGCUCAACCUGGGAACUGCAUUCGAAACUGGCAGGCUAGAGUCUUGUAGAGGGGGGUAGAAUUCCAGGUGUAGCGGUGAAAUGCGUAGAGAUCUGGAGGAAUACCGGUGGCGAAGGCGGCCCCCUGGACAAAGACUGACGCUCAGGUGCGAAAGCGUGGGGAGCAAACAGGAUUAGAUACCCUGGUAGUCCACGCCGUAAACGAUGUCGAUUUGGAGGUUGUGCCCUUGAGGCGUGGCUUCCGGAGCUAACGCGUUAAAUCGACCGCCUGGGGAGUACGGCCGCAAGGUUAAAACUCAAAUGAAUUGACGGGGGCCCGCACAAGCGGUGGAGCAUGAGGUUUAAUUCGAUGCAACGCGAAGAACCUUACCUGGUCUUGACAUCCACAGAACUUUCCAGAGAUGGAUUGGUGCCUUCGGGAACUGUGAGACAGGUGCUGCAUGGCUGUCGUCAGCUCGUGUUGUGAAAUGUUGGGUUAAGUCCCGCAACGAGCGCAACCCUUAUCCUUUGUUGCCAGCGGUUCGGCCGGGAACUCAAAGGAGACUGCCAGUGAUAAACUGGAGGAAGGUGGGGAUGACGUCAAGUCAUCAUGGCCCUUACGACCAGGGCUACACACGUGCUACAAUGGCAUAUACAAAGAGAAGCGACCUCGCGAGAGCAAGCGGACCUCAUAAAGUAUGUCGUAGUCCGGAUUGGAGUCUGCAACUCGACUCCAUGAAGUCGGAAUCGCUAGUAAUCGUAGAUCAGAAUGCUACGGUGAAUACGUUCCCGGGCCUUGUACACACCGCCCGUCACACCAUGGGAGUGGGUUGCAAAAGAAGUAGGUAGCUUAACCUUCGGGAGGGCGCUUACCACUUUGUGAUUCAUGACUGGGGUG
rnacentral:rRNA from 1 species